rnacentral:rRNA from 1 species
CAGUCGCCACGGUAAUACGGAGGGAGCUAGCGUUGUUCGGAAUUACUGGGCGUAAAGCGCGCGUAGGCGGUUACUCAAGUCAGAGGUGAAAGCCCGGGGCUCAACCCCGGAACUGCCUUUGAAACUAGGUGACUAGAAUCUUGGAGAGGUCAGUGGAAUUCCGAGUGUAGAGGUGAAAUUCGUAGAUAUUCGGAAGAACACCAGUGGCGAAGGCGACUGACUGGACAAGUAUUGACGCUGAGGUGCGAAAGCGUGGGGAGCAAACAGGAUUAGAUACCCCGGUAGUCCCUGUCUCUUAUAC